AUUGAACGCUGGCGGCAUGCCUUACACAUGCAAGUCGAACGGUAACAGGUCUUCGGAUGCUGACGAGUGGCGAACGGGUGAGUAAUACAUCGGAACGUGCCCGAUCGUGGGGGAUAACGAGGCGAAAGCUUUGCUAAUACCGCAUACGAUCUACGGAUGAAAGCGGGGGAUCUUCGGACCUCGCGCGGGCGGAGCGGCCGAUGGCAGAUUAGGUAGUUGGUGGGAUAAAAGCUUACCAAGCCGACGAUCUGUAGCUGGUCUGAGAGGAUGAUCAGCCACACUGGGACUGAGACACGGCCCAGACUCCUACGGGAGGCAGCAGUGGGGAAUUUUGGACAAUGGGCGAAAGCCUGAUCCAGCCAUGCCGCGUGCAGGAUGAAGGCCUUUGGGUUGUAAACUGCUUUUGUACGGAACGAAAAGCCUCUUUCUAAGAAAGAGGGGUCAUGACGGUACCGUAAGAAUAAGCACCGGCUAACUACGU
rnacentral:rRNA from 1 species